CUUCCCGCCUGAGGGCCUGCCUGGCCCUGACUCCCGACCCGCUCCUCCUCCGAAGAGAGAUCGGGGCCGCUGACAGGGGCCCUCCGCAGCCACCGGGGAUGGGACUGGGGGGUCGGUUCCUGUCCCGGUGCAGCCGCCGCCGGGUAGACCGCCUGGCUUGGCCGCAGCCAGGGCGACAUGUAGCCCCGGUUCUGCCAGGCUGGGAGCGCCAGCCAUCUUGGGAGUUGCCAGGCAGCUGUCGCCAGCAGGUAGAGGGCGCCUGCAGCUUGGGCGCCCAGGUGGUGGAGCACGGCCUAGGCGGCCUCUGGAUCGCGAGUGCACCUGGCCUGAGAGCCCGCCAGGCCCUGCCCCUGCUCGGCUCCUCGUCUGCUGAAGCUCGGGACCUCUAGCCAGUGGCCCUCUGCAGCCACGGGGAAUGGGGCUGAGAGCCGGUUCCCGCUGCAGGGCAGACCACCUAGCUCAGCCGCAGCCACAGGGACAUCUGGCCCCGGUUCUGAGAUGUGGGGAGUGCUGGCGGGCUCGGGGGUUGCCUGGAGGCUGCUGCCUGCACACAGAAGGCGGAUGCAGCUUGGGUGCCCAGGCGGGCUGGAGGUGCAUGGCCUGGUCGGCCUCGGGAUCGCCAGCGCGCCCAGCCUGAGGGCCCCCAGGCCGUGCCUCCCGCCCAUUCCUCCACCGGAGGGGGAUCGGGGUCGCUGGCAUGGGCACUUGGCAGUCACUCCGGAUGGGGUUGAGCAGGGGUUCUCAGUUUUCGCCCCUGUGCAGCCGCCGCCGGGCAGAAUGCCUGGCUUGGCCGCAGCCACUGCUACACCUAGCGGGUCGGGCGGGCCGGGGGGUGAAAGCGCUGGGAGGCGGGUGCCUUCUCGCCCUGUGGCGCCUCUGGGCCCCACGGCUUGUCGGCCUCCGGCGCGCAGGGCUCCCCAGCAUCCUGGGCGCCGGCCCGCUGCCUGCACAAAGUCAACUCAGACAGGAUGAACUUCGGUUGCCUUGUCUGGCUGGGCUGCCAGGCGGGGCAGCUGACCUGCUGAUGGGGUGACUUUCUUCAUCUUCUUGCCCACAGGACAGCGGGCUGGGAAGCCAGGGGCCGCCGGGACCUGGGGCUGGAAACCACAUCUGCCCACAGCCGCAGCCUCCUGCACCUGUCAUCCUGGCGGCGCCCUGACGUCGGAGAAGCAGCAGGCGCGGAGCUCCUGCAGCGGGCACCGCUGCAGCAACCCGACCCGGCGCAGGCGGCAGUGGAAGGCGGCCUGCUAGCACGGCUCCCGCGGCCCCAGGACCAGGGGUGCGGCCAGCACCGCCCUCACUCCCCGCGUCUCGUGGAUAUUGCCCUCCCUGGAGGCGGCUGGACCUAAGCGAGGCUCGCAGCGAUCGGCCCCGCGAAGACUCGCAUGCAGGGCUCAGGAUCCCGCAUUCUGGCGCCGCGGCACCGCACCUUUCAGCAGCCCUGCUCCUCUUCUUGUUGGUAAACUUUUGUCACUCUGCCAUGAAAAGCAUCCAGGCGUCCUUGAUUUCGACAUUGCGUGCACGCUCAGCCGAGCUCAUCAGACGGGCGGUUGUCCCCAGAGCCCGCGGGUAGCUUGUUCCCGGGCGGCGGCUCCUGCUGGAUGCAGCUCCUUGUGGGCCUACCAGGCUUGGUGGAGCCACAGCAGACCUGUGGAGAGGAAGAGUAAGGCGGGCUCUGCAGGGCAGUGGGCCGGGACCAUGAGAGAGGCGGGUCAGUCUGGGCUCCAAGCUCAGCCUCUCGGAUUCCCCGGGACCCACGGCUUAUAAUGCGCUUAAAUCCCACGCCUCGCCCGAGAGACAGCACGUCACCGUCACCGUCACCGCCUAGCGCCCCUGACCCGCUCCCACUCCGCUGCAGCGGAGGGUGUGUGAGGGAGAGGGACGCAGGGAGGGAAAAGCGUUGGGAGGGCAAACAUCUUUUCAUAAGCUUUUCCCCUUCUAUAUGCCAUCUCUGAUGGGAGCCUCUUUAGAUCUUUCGUCCAUUUACUAAUUGGGUUGUUCGAUUUCUUAUUGUUGAGUUGUAAGUGGUUUUUAAUGGUCUGGAUGCCAGACAGGUGUUUUGCAAAUAUUUUCUCCGUCUGUGGCUUGUUUCUCCAUUCUCUUAUUUCCUUUCCCAGAGCAAAAGUUUUUAAUUGUAACGACUUCAUACCAAUAUCUUCUUUCAUGGUAGAAAUUUGUCUUUUAUGUACUUUACUGUUGUAUCUACAAAGUAAUUGCCAAACCCAAAGUUACCUAAAUAUCCCUUUUGUUAUUUUACAGAAGUUUUACAGCUUUUGGAUUUAAAUUUAGGUCUAAAAAUUGAAUUCAUAAAAGUAGAGAGUAUAAUGAUGCUUACCAGAGGCUGUGUUGCUGGGGAGAAAAAUGGGAAGUUGUUCACAGAUGCAAAGAUUCAGUUAAACCGGAGAAAUGCGUUUUGAAAUCUAUUGCACAGCAGGAUGACUAUAGUCAAUAAUAAUGUACUGUAUAUUUAAAUAACAAAAAGUAAAUUUCAAAUAUCUAACCACAAAAAAUAAAAUUGAGGUGAUGGGUAUUUUUUAUUUUAUUUAUUUAUUUGUUUAUUUAUUUAUUUUUUUGAGACAGAGUCUCGCUCUUUCGCCCAGGCCGGACUGCAGUGGCAGGGUCUCGGCUCACUGCAAGCUCCGCCUCCUGGGUUCACGCCAUGAGGUGAUGGAUAUUUUAUCCUCGAUGUAGUCAUUCCUCAUUUUAUACACAUAUCCAAGCAUCACAUUGUACCCCAUAAAUGUAUGCAAUUGUGGUUUGACAAUUUAAAAUAUUAUUAACUUAAAAAUGUGUCGUUCGAGUUAAUUUUUGAGGAGCAAGGUCUGUGUCUCAAUUCUUUUUUUUUUUGCAUAUAUGUAUAUAUACAUACACGCAAUGUAUUCAUCACUGUUUUUGAAAAAGCUACCCUUUCUCCCUUGAAUUGCCUUUACCUUUUUGUAAAAGAUCAAUUGACUGUGUUUGUGCACUCUUAUUUCUGAGUUCUCUAUUCUGUUCCGUUGAUCACUUUGCAAGUCCUUGAACUUUGUUCCUCCCCCACAAUAUUGUUGGCUAUUCUUGUUAGUUUGUCUUUCUAUAUAAACUUUAGAAUUAGUUUGUCAAUUUCCACACAAUAAUUUAUUCAUGUUUUCACGAGAGUUGUAAUGAAUUUGUAAAUCACACUGAAGAGAACUGACAUCUUAACAACACUGGGUCUUAUUUUGUGAAUACAGAUGUCCCUUCAUUUAUUUAGAUCUUUAAUCCCUUUCAACAGAUUUUAUAGUUUUUCUCACAUAGACCCUGCCCAUAUUUUGCUAGAUUGUGUCUAUUUCAUUUUCUUGAUGCUAAUGAAAAUGGUAUUGGGCUUUUAAUUUCAAAUUCUCGUUGUUCAUUGCUGGAUGUAGGACAGCAAUUGAUUUUGUAUAUUAACCUUAUACCGUGCAACCUUGCUAUAAUCCAGAAGGGUUUUUGGCUGAUGCUUUGAGAUUCUCUACAUAGAAAAUCAAGUUAUCAGCAAGCAAAGGGCAUUUUAAUGCUCCCUUUCCAAUCUGUAUACCUUUUAUUUUAUUUUCUUGUCUUAUUGCAUUAGCUAGGAUUUUAGUAUGAUGUUGAAUAGGAGCAGUGAGAGGGGAUAACAUUUCCUUGCUUCUUUUGUGUAAAACAUCCCAUUUUUCACAUUAUGUAUGAUAUUGUCUGUAGGAUGUUCUUUUGGUAUAUGUUCUUUAUCAGUUGAGGAAUUUCCCUUCUAUUUCUAAUUUGCUGAGAGUUUUAACCAUGAAUGGGCUUUGGAUUCCGUAAAAUGCUUUCUUGAUCUAUUAAUAUAAUCAAAUAACUUUUCUUCUUUAGCUAGUUAUCUGAGGGAUUGCCUUAACUAUUUUGUGUUAAGCCAGGCUUGCAUACCUGGAAUAAAUCUCACUUGGUCUUGGUGUGUAAUUCAACAAUGUAUUGCUAGAUUCAGCAUGCUAAUAUUUUGUUGAGAAUUUUUGAUGAGAGACAUUUGUCUGAACAUUUUUCUUUAAAUGUCUUUUUCUGCUUUUGGUAUUAGAACUUCAUAAAAUGAGUUGGGAUAUGUUCCUUUUGCUUCUGUUUUCUGGUAGCAAUUGUAAAUAAUUGGUAUCUUUUCCUCCUUAAAUGUUUCAUACAAUUCGCUAGUGAAACAAUCUAGGCCUGUUGCUUUCUUUCUUGGAAGGUUGUUAAUUAUUCAUAUAUUUCUAUACUAGAUAAAGAGUUAUUUGAAUUAUCUAUUUCUCCUUUUGUAAGUUCUAUGGACUACAUUUUUGUGUCUCCCCAAAAUUCAAGUGCCAAAAUCAAUCCUCAAUGUGAUGGUAUUUGAGGUCCUUUGAGAAGUGAUUAGGUCAUGAGGAUGGAGCCCUCAUAGGUGGGAUUAGUGGUUUUUUCUAGAAAGGUUCCUCACCCCUUCUGUUAUGUGAGAACAUAUUGAAAAGAUGGCUUCCAUGAGCCAGAAAUUGAGUCCUCAGCAGACAUGAAAUCUGCUGAUGCCUAGAAUUGAUGUUGGAUUCCCUAGCUUCCGGAACUAUGAGAAAUAAGUUUCUGUGUUUAUAAGCCACCCAGUUUAUGGCAUUUUGGUAUAGCAUCCUGAACAAACUAAAGGAGUUUUGGUAGUUUGUGACUUUCAAGAUAUGGAUCCAUUUUGUCCAAGUAAUCAAAUUUGAGAGCACAUAGUGUUUAUACUAUUCAUUUAUUAUCCUUUUAACGCCCAUGGCAUCAAUACUGAUAACCUUUCAUUUCUGAUACUAGUAAUUUUUGUCUUCUGUUUCUGUUUCUCAUUUGUCUCCUCUCCUCCAUUUCCCAUCCUCUUUCUGCCUCUUCUUCAUCCCCUUCUCCUCCUCCUCCUUUUCCUCCUUCUCCUCCUCCUCCUCCUUCAUUAUCUUCUUCUUAUCCAUUAGAUUAUAUAAAAGUAAGCAAAAUAGAGAUUUUAUUUUACCUUCAUGUAUUCCUUCUCUAAGCUCUCCCUUCUUUAUGUAGAUCCAAAUUUCUUAUAAUUUUUCUUCUUCCUGAAACUCUUCUUUGAAAUUUUUUACGAAGUAGGUCUGCUCGUGACACAUUUCUUCAGUUUCUGUUUGUAUGAGAAAGUAUUUUUUCUCCUUCACUUUUGAAGGAUAGUUUUACUAGAUACAAAAAUAUCAGUUGAUUAUAUUGUUCUUUCAACAUUCUAAAUAUUUCAACUUACUCUCUUUUGAUUGGAUGGUUUCUGACAAGAAGUCCUAUGUAAAUCCUAUUCUUGCUUCUUUAUAAAUCAAGUCUUUUAUUCCAUUCACUUUCAACAAUUUGUCUGUCUUUGAUUUUCUGAAGUUGAAAUAUAAUUUGCAUAUGAGUAUAUAUUUUUGGUAUUUUUCUGAACUUCCUGUAUUUGUGGUUUCAACACGUAAUGUUGUAAAAUUCUCAGUCAGUAUUACUUCAAAUACUUAUCUGCAUUUUUUCCUCUUUCUUCUCUUUCUAGCAAUCCCAUUGUGCAUGUGCUACAUGCUACAACAAUUAUUGAAUAUUCUGUUCUUUUUUCCCAUUGUUUUCUCUUUGCAUGUCAGUUUGGGAAGUCUCUAUUGACAUACCUUCAAGAUGACUGAUGUUGUUCUUGACCGUGUUCAGUUCACUGAUAAACCUAUUGAGGACAUUCUUCAUUUCUGUUGCAGUAUUUUGUUUUCUAGCAUUUUCUUUCUUUUUUUUUUUUUUUUUUAAGAAAAAGGGCUUAAUUUAUGUCACUGAGGCUGGAGUGCAGUGGUAUGAACAUAGCUCACUGUAGCUUCAACAUCCUACGAUUUAGGAAUUCUCCCACCUCAACCUCUGGGACCACGGGCAUGUGCCACUAUGCCUGGCUGGUUAUUUGGUUUUUUUUUUGUUUUUUUGUUUUUUUGUUUUUUUAAGAGAAGGGUCUUACUUUGUUGCCUAUGCUGGUCUUAAACUCCUGGACUCAAGUGAGCUUCCUGCCUCAGCCUGAGAUUAUAGAUGCGAGCUGGGAUUAUAGAUGUGAGCCACUGCAUCCAGCCAAAAUUGAUACAUUUAAAAUAUACUGUUUUUAAUAUAAAUGGAAGAUGGAGAAUCACUAUGAGUAUUUCAUUAAUAUUUUGUGGGAAGCCUAAUAAAAAUGAAAUUUUCUGUGAGUGUACCUCACCCUUCCAAAUGUUGAGCCACUUCUCCAAGGGACAGUUCUUCGGCUGAUUUUUGGUGUUUUAUCUUCCGCCAGUAGUGAAAUGAAUGACAUGACUUAUGGCCCAAGGCUUUACUCAGAAGCUUGGUGCCUGUUACCAGCGCUGCUGGGAGCUCCUGAGGUAGACACAAAGGCCAGGUGUCAGGGAGACUACCCAAGAGCAAAGAGCCGGAGAGGGGAGGCAUGUGCUGUUGGACAAAAUUGCCAUCACUAGGCGGGUACUGUGAAUCCAACAUAGAUCUGAGUCAGGUUCCAUAUGCAGGGUUCGGGGUGAGUGCCUGGGAUCACUCUGUGGCUGGAAUUCUCCAGAAACCUGGUUUAUACAGUGUAAUUGAAACUUGAAGCAGCAUCUGAUGCACCUUAGAUGAUUAGAACUGAUUAGAGGUUCUAGGCUGAUUAGAACUAGGUGAUUGGAACACGGUCUGGCUAGGAAGGAAGGGACCAUGCGCAUCAGGGCGGAGACUGCAGGUGGGCAGAUGGCCAUCACAGCCCAGCGGGCUGCCCUUUACUCUCCUCCAGGCCCAGGAGACUAAACACACUUGAGUCGCAACUGCCUCUGGGCGUGGGAACUGUGGUCUUGUUUCCAGUCACCUGUCCCAGCAAGAAGGAGCUUCCGUUGUGCUUGCAGACUUGACCUUACUAGUCUGGGCUGGGGAGUUCUGUGUCUGCCCAUGGCUGGUCAUUAUUGUCUACAAAACCUGCUGUGUGAUCUGUAAGAAUUUUUGUGACUAGCUAGCUCAAGGGCAUGAUGACAUGCCUAUGCUAUUGCUGAGGGAAUAUCUCUAUUUUCAGGUGAAGAUUGUUUCUAAUUUUAUGUUCAGAAUUACAUACAAGAGGCACAGUGGAGGUAUAUAAAUGAAGAUCCACCAGCAUUCUUUCAAAAUACUGAACCACAUUUUCUGAUAGACAUUGGGGUGGGGUGGCUGCAAGCAGAAUGUCUGGGUUGGCAUUCUCAUUCCACAGCUUCAUGCGGUGUGAUAGUGAGUAAUUUACUUUCCCUCUCUGUGUCACAGUUUCCUAUUCUCUAAAAACAGCUAAUAAUAAUGACCUACCUUAUAGACUGUUAUGAAGAUUGAAUUAAUUUAUAUAUGUAAAUAAGACUUGGAACAUAAAUUUUCUGCACAUUUUUUUUUGUUUUUUUGAGACGGAGUCUCACUCUGUCGCCCAGGCUGGAGUGCAGUGGCCAAUCUCGGCUCACUGCAAUCUCUGCCUCUUGGGUUCACGCCAUUCUCCUCCCUCAGCCUCCCGAGUAGCUGGGACUACAGGCACCCGCCACCAUGCCCGGCUAAUUUUUUGUAUUUUUUUAGUAGAGGCGGGGUUUCGCCGUGUUAGCCAGGAUGGUCUCAAUCUCUUGACCUCGUGAUCCGCCCGCCUCGGCCUCCCAAAGUGCUGGGAUUACAGGCGUGAGCCAGCGGGCCCGGCCGAUUUUCUGUAAAUGUUAGCCAUUGUUAUUGCUCCUAUUGACCUGAAGUAUAAAAACAGAAAUGUGACCCUGGUCCUUGACCUUGGGUGGAAUCACAUGAUAAGCAAUAGUUUAGGGAAAAUGUUUGUACCGGGUAUUUUCAUUAUUCAAAAUAUUAUUAAUAAUAAUGUGCUAUUAAGAUAAUGUUACAAAAUUAAAAUAUUGAAAAGAAGCCUCUGGUACAGAAUCAGAAAGUCUUACUGUGCAUGUGUGUAUUUUGACUUUCUAUAAUUCCUCUGUCAAUCAUAAGCUUUGCAGAUUUCAGUUAUCUGGGUCAACUUGCCAGUAGUAACUGCUUUGGUCUCCCCAUCUCUAACGCACCUCAUGAUCUAUUUGCUGUCCUGCUGCUACAGUAACCCUGCUACAGUUCUCUUACCUGAAGAUCUUCCUUUCCCAGGAAAACAUUUCACACUUUCCCUGACAACACAUCACACACACACACACACACACACACACACACACACACACCAUAAACACCCCCCAUACACACACACCACACACCAAAAACUCACACAUUCUACACACAUCACACACAUGAACACCCCAGCACACACAUAUUCAUACCACAAAUACCACACACACCACACACACAUCACACCCACCACCUACACUAACAUACAUACCACACACACACCAAACACACAUUCCACACACAUACUCUGAACACCCCAAUACACGCACACUCAUACCACAUGCACACCACACACAUCAAACUCAUACACACUGCACUCACUUCCUACAUCCACACACACCACAUACACACACCACAUGCAUCACACACACACACAAACACUCCCGCAUACACUCACACUCACAGUAUUAAACAAUACCACACACUGAUGCAUUCCACACACACACACCAUAGACACCCCAAUACACACAUACUCAUACCACACAUACCACACAUACCACCCCCACACACACCACAUGCACAUCACGCACACUCUCACAAAUACAACACUCACUACCUCCACUCACACACAUGCCACAUACACACACACCAUACACACCACAUGCAUAAAACACACACCAAAAACACUCCCUAUACACUCACACUCACGUACCACACAUAAAACACACACACAUUCCACACACACACCGUGAACAUACACACACUCAUCACACACACCACACACAUCACACAAACUCUCACACACCACUCCUACACACACACCACAUACACAGACACCACACACACCACCGCCAUCCCUGAUACACUCACACUCACAUACCACAAACACACCACACACACCUUCCACACACACACACCACAAACAUCCCCCAUACACCCACAUACCACACACACACCACACACUCCACACACACACCAUGGACACCCCAUGCAUACACUCAGAUCACACCCACACACCAAGCCCACUACACUCCAUAUAUACUCACAUACGCCACAUAAACACAAACCACCCACACCCACACACACACACAUCACACUCACUCCUUGAAACGCUUCUCUUCACUCACUGAUCCCUUCCUGACCCUAAUCCACACCCACCGGGCUCCCCAGGCUUUCUUCCACCAGGACCUCCAUAGCCCCUCCCUCCAGGGACUUCUCUCCACUCUAGGCUCCCUAUGGAGCCUCCGUUCCUUCUGCAGCUCUCGCUCCCCACCUCCCCAUGCAUUUGCCUCACUGAUUGCGCUGGACCAUCUUGGUGGUUUUUCCAGUGUGUCCCCCGUGGUAGGUCUCCUCACAUACACUGCAGGCCCCUUUUGACAAGCCCACAUCCUGGCACCGGCAGUUCCUUGGGCAUUGUACAUCCCUGCACGUAGGACCGCGUCUGGCACACAGUGUGCACUCAGCUAUAAUUUCAGAGCGUGAAUGCUCACAGGUAUUAGGAUCAACGUUCAGAAGGUGCUUUCCUUUUUACUGAACCUGUGGCCUACUUGAUUUACCUGAUAGCUUGUAAUUCAGUUCAUUAAAUUUCUGUUAAAAUAUUAAUACACCAGGUGAAUCUCAAUAUUAUUGCUGCAAAUUAUGUUUUCAUUAAGAUGGACAAAGACUAUUAAUAAGCCACAUUUGCAGGGCACUGAGUUAGAGAAUUAGCCUAGAAGACUGAAGUCUUCAGUGAUUUCUGUUUAUAUCAACAUACAGAAGAAAAAGGAUAGAAACGACAAGCGUAUAGAAAUGAGAUUAGAAACUGAAAAAAAUUAAUAGUUUUGUAAAAUUAGCUAGGUGAUGUACAAAUUCCAUAUAAAAUCUCUAUUUUUCAUUUGGGGUGCAGUGUCUCAGGAUUUUUGCUUCCUAACUGACUAAUUGGAGUGUUGUACCAUGAUUACAUUGCCAAGACUAAUAGCAUCUGCACUAAAUAUUUUUUUGAGAUUUUGUUGAGGUUUACUUGACAUAUACAGAAAAGCGCACAUUGAAAAUGUGCAGGCUGGGGGCGGUGGCUCACAGCUGUAAUCCCAGCACUUUGAGAGGUCAACACAGGAUGAUUGAUUGAGUCCAGCAGUUUGAGACCACCCCGGGUAACACAGAAAAAAACCCUCUCUCUACAAAAAAUACAAAAAUGAGCAGGACAUGGUGGCCCGCACCUGUGGUCCCAGUUACUUGGGAGGUGGAGGUGGGAGGAUAGCUUGAGCCCGAGAGGUCGAGGCUGCUGUGAGCCAUGAUUGCACCACUGCACUCCAUGCAUCCUGCCUGGGAGACAGAGUGAGAUCCUGUGUUUUACUAAAUAAAUAAUAAAAGGUUCAAUUUGGUAAGUUUUAACGUAGGUAUAGAACUCUGAAACCAUUACAACCAUCAAGAUUACCAACAUAUUUCUUGUUUUCUUUUUUUUGGGGGGGGAUGGGGGGAGAGUGUUUGGCUCUGUCACCCAGGCUGGACUACAGUGACACAAUCUUGGCUUACUGCAAUGUCUGCUUCCCAGGCUCAAGCGAUCCUGCCUCCUUAGCCUCCCCAGUAGCUGGGACCACAGGAGUGUGCCACCACACCCUGCUCAUUUUUGUGUCUUUUGUUUGUUUGUUUGUUUGUUUGUUUGGUGUGUGUGUAGGCACUGGGUCUCCCUGUGUUACCUGGGCUGGUCUCGAACUCCUGGGCUCAAGCGCUGCACCCACCUCGGCCUCCCAAAUCACGCCGGGAUUACAGGCGUGAGCCCCCGUGCCCAGCUAUACAUAUAAUUUCUAAGCACUUUCUUGCUUCUCUUUCCCUCCCACUUCUCCCAGCCUUCCCCAUUCGCAUGCAACAACUGGAAAUAAUUUUGAUUUAGAAUAUAAACACACUUUAUAUGUCUAAAGAGAUAACAGGGAAAAUGGAAAUAGUAAGAGACUUAUUUUUUAUAUCAAAAUUAUCAAGUAAAAUUGAAAAAGAACAGUAUUUAGAAUGAAAAUUGAAUUACAGAAAUGAAGAAUUUAGUGGAUUCUGAAACAGCAGAUCAAACGUACAUGAAGAGAGACUCAGCAAAUUAGAAGAAAGCUCUGAAAUGGCUGGGAGCAGUGGCUCACGCCUGUAAUCCCAGCACUUUGGGAGGCCGAGACGGGCAGAUCACGAGGUCAGGAGAUCGAGACCAUCCUGGCUAACACGGUGAAACCCCGUCUCUACUAAAAAUACAAAAAAAUUAGCCGGGUAUGGUGGUGGGCACCUGUAGUCCCAGCUACUGGGGAGGCUGAGGCAGGAGAAUGGUGUGAACCCAGGAGGCAGAGCUUGCAGUGAGCCGAGAUCGCGCCACUGCACUCCAGCCUGGGUGACAAAGCAAGACUCAGUCUCAGAAAGAAAAAAGAAGAAGAAGAAGAAAGCUCUGAAAUAAUUAACCAGCAUGCACAAUAAAGAGACAAGAAUUGGGAAAUGUGGAAGAGAUGUUAAGGGAUGGGGGGAAGAGGAAACACUGGAGAGAUAAUCUGCAGGAAUGUCCAUCUAUGUGACUAGAGAUGGGCACUGUUGCUGUAGCAUUGUACAGCAUCGCACUGUCGAAGGGAAAGCAUCUCUACAAUGAGAAAUUGUAUGGGUUCAUUCACAAAAUGUUUUGUCUAGUCUAGAAAUAUUAUGUCUCUUUAUCACAAACUCUCCUUUUAAAAAUAUAGGUAAUUAUACAUUAAGAGAAUUUUGUAAAGAACAGUAUGCAUAGCUGAAAUAUAUUUGGCAUCAUUUAUUGAACACUCCCUCUGCAUAUUAAAGUCUGGGUCACACAAACAAAAUAGUCACAUAGGGGCUGCUGUCAGCCAGUGAAAAGAAAUACUAAAUCUAUUGACUGAACUCAACACGCUGACAGAAAGGCAUGCUGAAAUAGACAAUGUGGAAGAAAAAGUCAAUUCAACCAAAACAAAUGUCCCUAAUCAAAUAGGAAGCUUGGCUUUCAGCAAAGUAAUUUCGGGAAAAUGAACACAUGAUUUAACCCCUCAAUCAUAUCAUUUGUCUAUCAACCCAACGUUCUCACCUUAGGCAGCACAGAGUACCAGAUUCUUCAAGGAAGAUGAACAACCGUCAUUACAUGGGAAUAACUCAUGCAAUGUUACACACCGAUUGAAAAAGGAAAAGUAUUUCUGUGAAUGAUGUGCAGUAACUAAAUCAAUUUUUUUUUUUUUUUUUUUUUUUUUUUUUUUUUUGAGACGGAGUCUCGCUCUUUCGCCCAGGCUGGAGUGCAGUAGCGCUAUCUCGGCUCACUGAAAGCUCCGCCUCCCUGGUUCACGUCAUCCUUCUGCCUCAGCCUCCUGAGUAGCUGGGACUACAGGCGCUCGCCACCACGCCUGGAUAAUUCUUGUAUUUUUAGUAGAGAUGGGGUUUCACCAUGUUGGCCAGGCUGGUCUAGAACUCCUGACUUCGUGACCCGCCUGCCUCAGCCUCCCAAAUUACAGGCAUGAGCCACUGUGCCUGGCAUAUGUAUUUCUUUCUGAAGAUUUGUUUUUGUUGGCAAGAUUGUUCUUUUUUGUUUGCUUGUUUUGUUUGCUUAUUUGUUCGAUGAUAUAUUUUUCUUUCUUCCCUAUAUGCACAUUUAUUGAAGUGUAGCAAACUAAAAAGUGCACAGAUCAUGAAUGUCUAGCUCCACGUAUUUUUCCAAGGCGAACCACCACGCAGAUUAACUCUUAAGAGAAUUAUCAGCACCCUUCAAAGCCUUCUUGUAUCUUCUCCCAGUCACAAUUCUUUCCUCCCAUCUUGCCAAACUAUAAGUUAGUUUUAUAUCUUUUUUAAACCUUUUUAUAAGUGAAAUCGUCCUAUGUAUACUAUUUUGUUCAACAUUAUGUUAGUGAAAUAUAUUCGUGUUAUUGUUUGUAGUAGUGUUUCGUUUACUUCAAUAUCUACAUAGAAUUCCCAUUGUGUGUAAAUACAAAUAGGGGAUGGUUAAUAUUUUUAAAUUCUUGAAAUUUUUAUUGAAAUAAUUGUAGAUACACAUGCAGUAGGUAGUGCAAAAUAAUACAACGAGAUCACAUGUAUUCUUUACCUGGUUUCCCCCAAUGGUAACAUUUUGCAAAACUAUAACAACCAGGACAUUGACAUUGAUACAAUCUACCAGCCUUGUUAAAACUUUCCGUGUUUUAUUUGUAUUUUGUGUGUCCAUGUGUGCACAUAGCUCUCUAUAACUAUGCCACACGUCUUGGCUCCUGAAUCCACCACCACAGUCAACCCAGGGCAGCCUAUCCCCUCAGAAUUCUCUGGUGCUGUGCCUUGAAAAUCACACCGACCCCCUUGCAAUGCCCCCCUCCACUGUCCCUAAUCCCUGGCAACUCCCAAUCUGUCUCCAUCUCUAAAUUUUUCGUUAAAAAAUGUCAUACAAAUGAAAUCAUAGUGUUUAACAUUUUGGGAUUCGACUUGUUUUACUUGGCUUAAUUCCCUGGAGAUUUGCCCCAGUUCUUGUUUAUACCAAUAGUUUGUUCCUUUUUAUUGCUGGGUAAGUAUGUCAUGUUGUGGAUAUACCACAGCUUGCUGAAGCAUUCACCUGAUUAAGAAUAUUUGGGCUGAUACUAUUUUUGACAGACGACACCUGAAGCUGCUAUGGACACGUCUGUGCAGGUUUUUGUGUGAACGUAAAUCUUCAUUUAUCUGAGAUAAAAGCCAAAGAGUGCAAUGGCUGCAUUGUAUAAAUCACAUGCUUAGUUUUUAAGGAAUCUACCAAAUUAUUCCCCAGACUGGUUGUACCAUUUUACAUUCCCACCAGCAAUGUGUGAGCACCCCACAUUCUCUGGAUUCUCAACAGGCAUUUGGUGGUGUCAGCAUUUAUUUUUAAGUUUCUCUAAUAGCUAUGUGCAUUUAACUGAUCGCUAAUGAUUUAAAACACUGUCUCACAUGUUUAUUUUCCAUCUAUACCUCCUCUUUAAUGAGAGGAUCCUCUUUUCUUCUUUCUAAAUAUCAAGAGCUCUUUUUAUAUAUUGUAGCAUAGAUCCUAGUCCUUUGUCAGAAAAUAGCAUUUUUUAUUUAAAUACGGUCAAUUUUGGUAAGGGUCCCACAUGCACUUACAACAAAUUAUAUUCUGUAAGUAUUGGUUGCAGGGCUUUCUGUGUGUCAAGUUUGUAAUCAAGUUGUUCAAAUUGACAUUUCUAUUGAUUGUUUUGUCUGAUUGGAGCAUCAGUUUUAGAGAGGUAAGUUAAAAUCUUUAUAAUGUUGAAUGUUCUUAUUUUGGUUUGCAGUUUGGUCAAUUUCUGUGUUCCAUAUUUUGAGAAUAUAUUAUUAUUUAAAGCUUACAAAUUUAGGAUUGUCAUAUCACUCUCUUUGAUGGCUGUUAUUCUUUUUUUUUUCUUUUUAGCAAUAUAUCUUGCAUUAAUGUCAACUUUGACUUAUGAUUAUAAAGCUAUACAUUUUUUUUUCCUUCUCUUGUUUGGUCUUUACAAAGAAUAUCUUUUUCUAACCUUUGACUUUCAACUAUUCUACGUAUGCCUACUUAAUGUUUGUUUCUUGUAAGUAUAAAAGAGUUGUUUUAUUUUCACCCAAUCAGUUUUACUAUUUAUUUAGAAUGUAAUUACUGAUAAAUUAGAGGUUUUUAUUGCUUUUUCUUUUUGAUUAAUAAACUUCUUUUUAAUUAUCUUUUUUGUCUGUUAGCUUGUUUCACUUUCCCAACAUUUCAAGGACGCCAUUCUGUUUACCUCCUUUGUGUAUAUUGAGACACUGUCUGUCAGCCUUAUAUUAAUAUUUUCUCUUUUGAAAAUAACAUUUCUUUGUUUGUGCUGCUUUUAAAAUCUUUUCCUUGCCCUGUUUUUCUGCAUACUUAUUAUAAUGUACUAGGUGAAGUUUUUCUUAAAUUAAUUUGCCUGCUUUGUAGAAUUUCUUAAAUCUCUCUUUUACUGUCUAUUGUCAGUUUGGGGAAAUUCUUGGUGAUAUUGUCUUAAAAUAUUGCUUAUGUCCCAAUUCCUCUCUCCCUUUCUUCUGGAACUUCAAUUACACAGAUAUUUUCUGUACAUUCUAUCAAUUUUUUUCUGCUUCACUUAAAAUGUUUUCUACUAAUCUAUCUUCCAACUCAACCCAUAUGUAUGCAUUUUGUAUUUCAGAUAUUUAUUUUCAAUUCUGAAUUUCUAUUUGAUUCAUUAUGGUUUCCAGUUUUCUGCCAAAAAUCUGGAUCAUUUGUUUCUUUUCUAAAACACAUGAAUCAUAGUUAACUAUUAAAGUUCCUGUUAUUAUUGAUAACAGUGGUAUCCAGAAACCCUGCUCCCUUUUUUUUUUUUUUUUUUUUUUUUUUUUUUGAGACGGAGUCUCGCUCCGUCGCCCAGGCUGGAGUGCAGUGGAGCAAUCUUGGCUCACUGCAAGCUCCGCCUGCCGGGUUCACGCCAUUCUCCUGCCUCAGCCUCCUGAGUAGCUGGGACUACAGGCACCCGCCACCACGCCCGGCUAAUUUUUUGUAUGUUUAGUAGAGACGGAGUUUCACCAUGUUAACCAAGAUGGUCUCGAUCUCCUGACCUCGUGAUCCGCCUGCCUCCGCCUCCCAAAGUGUUGGGAUUACAGGCGUGAGCCACCGCGCCCGGCCCCUGCUCCUUUCUUAUUGUGUCUCUCUUGGUGUUGGGUCAUGGGAUGCUGUUUCUGGAUGUUUCAGGUGAGUUUGCGUUGAUACCCAAGCUUGGCUGUGCAUUCUUGUCUUCUCCAGAGAGGACUUGGUUUUCUUCUGGCAGUCAAAGGACCGCCUUGAUCCAGUCAGUCAAGGGAGUGAAUCAAGACUACAUUUCAGCCUAGUGACUUUCCCAGUGCUUAUCUCUUUUUAAGUCACGACUCCAGAGACUGUGAUUUUUCCAAGCAGAUCUCCUUUGAAAGAUAGGCCAUGAACUCCCACCUCUGUCUCCCAGGACCCACAAUUCCAAAUGCUCUGUUAAGCUUUCUAGACCACUGAAAGCACCUCUUUUAUUUGGUUCCUUUGCUUCUAAUCUUAGAAAAAAAAAAUAGGAUUGGGUAAAUCUAUCAAGAACCGAAAGCCAGGCAGAUGUCAGGCUCACUCUCUUGUAAUUCUUCCUAGAUAAUAGGUCCUUCAAACUCUCACUGCUUGAUAGCCCAGUUCAGGGGCUCUCAUAUCCUGUGUCUCCCAAAACCACUUUAUCUGAGCUGCAGAUUCCUGUUUGACUGCAAUGCCCUAAACUGAAACUCAGCAGCAAAUCCCCUGAAAGGAAAAUGAUUUGCAAAAUGUGAAAAUAAUCUUAAUAGAUAUGCAGAUAUGCCUGUGUCUUGAUUUUAUUUUAAUUUUUAAUUUUUUUUUAUUUUUUAUUUUUUUUGAGGCGGAGUCUCUCUCUGUCGCCCAGGCUGGAGUGCAGUGCCGCAAUCUCGGCUCACUGCAAGCUCCCCCUCCCAGGUUCAUGCCAUUCUCCUGUCUCAGCCUCAGCGUAGCUCCUGCCUCAGCUCCCAGACUAGCUGGGACUACAGACGCCCGUCACCAUGCCCAGCUAAUUUUUUGUAUUUUUAAUAGAGACGGGGUUUCACCGUGUUAGCCAGGAUGGUCUCAAUCUCCUGACCUCGCGAUCUGCCCGCCUCGGCCUCCCAAAGUGCUGGGAUUACAGCGUGAGCCACCGCGCCCGGCCGCCUGUGUCUUGAUUUUUUUACUUUAAAAAUCCUGUCUGCCUUUUAUCAUUCUCCUAGACUUUAAGAGAUUUGCUUUUCUGUUAUCAUUAUAUUCAGAUUUCAAAACUAUUCUCAGUGGGAGUUAGAUCUGAGAUAUUUGGGGCUGGGGGGGGGUUCCAGUUACAAUUUUUUGUUUUGUUUUGUUUUGAGACUGAGUCACUGUCGCCCUGGCUGGAGUGCAGUGGCGCGAUCUCGGCUCACUGCAUCCUCCGCCUCCCGGUUCAAGCGAUUCUCCUGCCUCAGCCUCCCGAGUAGCUGGGAUUACAGGCGCCCACCACCAUGCCCGGGUAAUUUUUUGUAUUUUUAGUAAGACGGGGUUUCAACAUGUUGGUUAGGCUGGUCUCCGAUUCCUGAUCUUGUGAUCUGUCCGCCUCGGCCUCCCAAAGUGCUGGGAUUACAGGCGUGAGCCACCAUGCCCGGCACCAUUUUAUUUUGUUUUGAGACAGGGCCUCGUUCUGUGACCCAGGCUGGAGUGCGAUGGCAUGAUCACAGCUCACUGCAGCCUCGACCUGUUGUGCUCAAGCAAUCAUCCCUCCUCAGCCCCCCAAGUAGCUGGGACUACAGUCAUGUGACACCACACCCAGCUAAUUUUUUUUCUUUUUUUUUUUUUUUUUUUUUUUUUGUAGAAAUUGGUUUUUGCCACGUUGCCUAGGGCUCAACUGUUCCUCUUUCCUCAGCUACCCAAAGUGCUGGGAUUACAGGUGUGAGCCACUGAGCCUGACCCCAGUUACUCAUUUUUCUAUCUGGCUUAGUUUCUGUUUCUUUCUUUCCUUCUUUGGUUUACUAUUCCUUAAGUUAUGUGAACAUAUAAAGGAAAAAAAAUGUAUCUUAAGUCAAAUUCGUGGCUUUGGGUGGAAGAAGAGGGAAGAAAGAAAAUGUAUUUUUGGCCAGACGUGGUGGCUCAUGCCUGUAAUCCCAGCACUUUGGGAGGCCAAGGUGGGCAGAUCAUGAGGUCAGGACUUUCAGACCAGCCUGGCCAAUAUGGUGAAACCCCAUCUCUACUAAAAAUACAAAAAUUAGCCUGGCAUGGUGGCAUGCGCCUGUAGUCCCAGCUACUCGGGAAGCUGAGGCAGAAGACUUGCUUGAACCUGGAAAGCAGAUGUUGCAGUGAGCUGAGAUUGUGCCACUGCACUCCAGCCUGGGCGACAGAGUGAGAUUCUGUUUCAAAAAAAAAAAAGUAUUGUUUUAUUAUACAUUUAAAGAAGAAAGUGUUCAUAGCCAUUGAUUUUUCCCUACAUGGUAAUAUAUUCGUGGCACCUGGGUCACGUGGAAUUAUGGGAAGAGAGUCCUUUUCCCUUCUCCUAGGCUGGAGUGCAGUGGCACCAUCUUGGCUCACUGAAAGCUCCGCUUCCCAGGUUCACACCAUUCUCCUGCCUCAGCUGAGUAGCUGGGACUACAGGUGCCCAUUACUACGCCCGGCUGAUUUUUUGUAUUUUUAGUAGAGGCGGGAUUUCACCGUGUUAGCCAGGAUGGUCUCGAUCUCCUGACCUCGUGAUCUGCCCACCUCGGCCUCCCAAAGUGCUGAGAUUACAGGUGUGAGCCACCACACCCGGCCAGUCAGAUCUGCAUUCCCCACUUCCACUCGCUUCUCCGUUGUUACACGCCUUUGACUUUUGAGACUCAUGCCACCAUGCAACGUGACUCCACUGAUGUCCAUCAUAGUCCUCUCCCUUCCUGUAGCCCUGGGCUUCUUGUCACUGCUCCCCAUGGGCAGUCUGAUAAUUCUUGUAAAGUGACUCAUGGUUCCUCGACUCUUUUGACCCAAUAACUUUUCUCUCCACUCCACUGCAAGGUGUGACAUCAAGAUGCAAGAUAUGAAAUGACUGGUCAUACCUUGCAACUUGCUACACUUUAUCAUAAAAAUCUUAAGCACCUGUCCACAGUGCCAUAUAUUUUAACUGUCAUAUGCUUGCACUUCCUGAAACACUUUCCCAAUACUUGGGGACCUCUAUUAAUGGUUUUGUCAAAUUUUUACCCAGCCUAAAGAAAAUAAUUAAAAUACAUUCAGUGUAGCCUGAGUGUACUGUGUUUAUAAAGUCAGCAAUAGUGUACAUUAAUGUCCUAGGCCUUCAUAUUUACUCACCACUCACACACUGACUCACCCAGAGCAACUUCCAGUCCUGCAAGCUCCAUUCAUGGUAAGUGUCCUACAUAGGUGUACCAUUUUUUGUCUUUUCUACCAUAUUUUUACUACACCUUUUCUCUGUUUAGAUAUGUUUGGAUAUACAAACACUUACCAUUGUAAUACAAUUGCCGGCAGUAUUCCAUAUAGUAACAUGUUAUGCAGGCAUAUGGCCUAGGAGCUACAGGAUAUACCAUAUAGCGUAGGUGUGUAGUAGGCUUUAUCAUCUAUGUUUGCGGAAGUGCACUCUGUGGUUCACACAGUGAUGAAAUUGCCUAACGACACAUGUCUCGGAAUGUAUUACUGUCAUUAAGAGAUGCAUGGCUUCAUAUAUUUUUUACUCUGUUCUUAUGCUUCUCUCUGUAGAACUCCAAUGGCACAGAUGUGUCAUUGUAUUGUUACACAGAUCCUUAAGGCUAUGCUCAUUUUUCUUCAAACGUUUUUCCUCUCUGUUGCUUAUAUUGAAUACUUUUUAUUGAUCUAUCUUUAAGUUCAUGGACUUUUUCCUUUGUCAUUUCUAUUCUGCUGUUGAGAUCAUCUUGUGAAUUUUUAAUUUCAGUGUUUUUAUUUUUAGUUCUGAAGUGUAACUGUCUUUUCACUUGCAAGUUGAGAUUUUCCUUGUUCUUUACAUGCUGAACCAUUUUGGAUUAUAUCCUGAAUAUUUUGGAUAUUAUCUUAUGAGACUCUGGGUUUUGUUUAAAACGUCAGGACAAUGUCUUUUGCUGUUGUUUUCAAUGGCAAUCGGCUAGGUCAGAUUCAAUAUGCAAAUUCCUCCAGUGGGCUGUAGUUCUAUUGUGGUUCAGAGCCAUGUGGUACAAGCACACAGAGAAAAAGAGCAGUGAAGAAUCACUCUGAACUCCUGGAACCAUAGAUUCUCAGGUAAGAGAGAAGAGUUUCUUCCUUCAGAGUUGUAGGUGCUUCUUGUUGGUAGCUGUUGCUCUUUGCCCAGCUGCAACCACUGAAUCACCAGCACAGUAUUGCUUAGGUUAUAAAGAAAGGAAAGCAGAAAUAUAGGAGGGAAUUCAUCCUCCUCUUUCUCACCUGUAGGGGCUCAUUUUCCUUCCCCUCAGAUCAGAAAGUGAGAGAUCUUCGGGAAUUCUUUUUGUCUGUAACCAGGAUGUAUUUCGUUUCUUUAAGCCUCCUCUGACUGGCCAGUUUUGCAUGUUGCUUGUUUUCAGUUUUCAAAGUAAGAAAAAUCCUAUGAUUCUCCUGAUGCUUUAUAAGUCUAUGCUUUCAGAUUAAUGCGAAAGAUUAUUUAAAAACAAGCUUUCGGUAAAAAUGAAGGGCAUCCAAAGAAGCCUGCUUUCCACUUGGCUUCUGGCCAUCUUUCCUUUCUGCGGGGGUUCAAGAGCUUGGAGGCAUUGGAUCUGGUAUCAGAGCGGUCACCUUCCCCACUGAUGGGGAAGCCCAGAGGCCUUAGGAAUAAACGAAGCCCGUACUGAGGAAAGGGAAGCUGAGAGGACCGAGGAAACACCGACUUUACACGCCUGUGGACUGCAGGAACCAUUUAUGGCACGAGCGGGUCUUUACUUAUUUAUUUUUAUUUUUAGAUUUUACUUUAAGUUCUGGGAUACAUGUGCUGAACAUGCAGGUUUGUUAUAUACACGGGUAUACAUGUGCCAUGGUGGUUUGCUGCACCUAUCAACCCGUCAUCUAGGUUUUAAGCCCCACAUGCAUUAGGUAUUUGUGCUAAUGCUCUCCCUCCCCUUUUCCGCACCCCCUGACAGGCCCUGGUGUGUGAUGUUCCCAGGAGUGGGAGUCUCUAAGGGGUGAAAGGAGAGAGAAAACACGCUGGGCUAGCACUCUGCUGAGUUCUGCACUGAGUUAGUGCCUAACUUUGUGCUGUCUGCAGCUGUCUCCCCUACUCCUGCCCCAGGGUUCACUUCCUAGAACAGAGCCCCGGGGAACCCGGGAGCUGUGGAAAGCCAGGUCUCCCUUGUGGUUCGGGAAACACAGAAAUUCAGCUGACCAAGAGACGAAGAGAAGUAAAGCCAGCGCACGGAGGUAAGAAAGUGAACAUAACUUCAGAGCGCUAUCAUCAGGCCUGGUGAGGCAUGCUUGGAUCUUGACACAAAAAUCCCUCUUCGACUUGAUCUGGCUCUAGUAUGGAUCUUUCACUUUAGCCCAAAGUGCCUCCUUGAACUCUCAAAUGCAUUCUGAGCUGAGCACGAUGGUGAUUUGGGGUCAAUCAUGAUAUUCCCCGUGGGGGAUUUUCUCUCUCGGAGCGCAGACCUCGUGAUGACCCCUGUGACCCACCUCCUAGAGCUGGGGGCUCCGGGGAAUGCCUGACGUGCCUCAGGACAGAACAGGUGUGGUCCACCACCAUUCGUGCUAACCAUGGAAACAGGGUACAUGGGGUAUAGCUCAAGGGUGAUGUGCAAUUUUAUCAGAAAAUAAAUGCUAUUUAUUCUAACACUGAAAACUGAAUUAGGUCCUCAUGCUUCUUUUCUUCUUUUUUUUUUUUUUUUUUUCCAGACUAGGUCUCACUCUGUCGUCCAGGCUGGAGUGUAGUGGCAUAAUCAUGGCUCACUGCAGCCUCAACCUCCCUGGCUCAAGCCAUCCUCCCGUCUCUCCUCAUGUUUCUUAUGUCUGAUUGACAGGGCAAUAAAAGCACAUAUCUGGCACCUCUCCUUGUCUGGGAGGACUGGCCACAGAGUCAUUUUGCAGAAGUUGGAGAGGAGUGCACUAGAUGGGGCUGUUGGCUUGCAUUAUACAAUUCACACUGCAGGGGGUAGAGAAUUGAAUUUCACAUUUGAGAAAUGGGAAAGGAGGAAAUAAAAAGAUGGAAUGCCCUAAUCUUUCUGAAAAUCCAAAAAAGGCCCAAGGAAAGCUAGUUCAAUUAUUCCUACCAUGACAAACUAUGAUAUGGUCAGACAUGCGCACUCUGGCGGGGUGUUCCUAGCCUGGGCUGCCCAAGAGGUGGCAGCUGUUCUAGGACAGAUGGAGUGUGGGCCCCUUUCCUGUAGUGAGCUGGGAUCACUUAGGAAUGACCAUCAGCCCAGAGCCGUGGGGCUUAUUAGAUGCAGGGGUGAGUGGGGCUUGCAGGAAAUGGCCCACCAUCAGUGCUCUGAUGUCCGAAUGCCACUCUCGUCACCUCGAGAUUAACAUUUAGAGGGAGACCAUCCUGUGUGGCCUAUUGGUGAGACAGGGACUCAGAGGAACACAGGAACCACCCACACCCUCGCCCUGCCGUGGCUACCAGCUGCCCUGGCACACCUGGUUCCCUUUGAGUUCGCCAUUCUCGUUGCCACAUCCCAUCCUUUUCCAGACACUUCUAUUUUUCUCACACCUGGAAGUGACACCUGCUGGCAGUCUUCGGAAUUUUCCAGAGAGUUGGCAACUUGGGGCUCAUUUGUUUCUGCUCAUUUUUAUUUAGUUUUUCAGAUGGGCUGUGCUGCGGGCAACACAUGAUAGUAGCUCAUCAAAGAGAGGCUGUUUUUGGGAAGUGGAGCAGCCACCGCUGAUUUUGGAGCUGGGGUAGCUGCCGCUGCCACAGCCACUGCAGCGGCCUAAGGAGUCAGCUUGGGAAGGUAGUGGUCACCAAGCUCAGAGCUGUGCUUGGAACUGACAAUGGAUAAAAGUGUGCUGGUACAGAAAGCCAGGCCCGCUGAGCAGGCUGAGCGCGGUGAUGAUGUGGCUGCAGCCGGGAAGGCAGCCAUGCCACAGGGGCAUGCGCCCCCAGCUGAAGACAGCAAUCUGCCCUCUGCCGCCUACAAGAAUACGGUGGGGCCCACUGUUCUUCCUGGAUUCUCAUCUCCAGCACUGAGCAGAGAACAGGAGGAAUGAGAAGCAGCAGAUGGGCAAAGAGUACCAUGGAAGACAGAGGCAGAGCUGCUGGACAUCUGCAAUGAGGUUCCGGAGCUGUUGGACAAGUCUCUUAUUCCCCAUGCUACACAACCUGAAAGCAAGGCGUUCUCCUUGAAAAUGAAAGGAGAUUGUUUCGGGUAUCUUUCUGGGGUGGCGUCUGGAGACAAUAAACAAACCACACUGUUGAACUCCCAGCAGGCUUACCAGGAAACAUCUGAAAUUAGUAAGAAAGAUAUGCAGCCUACACACCCAAUUCGACUGGGCCUGGCACUUAAUUUCUCAGUCUUUUGCUACGGGAUUCUAAACUCUCCUGAAAAGGCCUGCAGCCUGGCAAACGUGGCAUUUGAUGAAGCAAUUGCUGAGUUGGAUACACUGAAUGAAGAGUCUUAUAAAGACAGCACUCCCACCAUGCAGUGACUUCGGGACAAUCUCACUCUGGGGACAUCGGGAAACCAGGGAGAUGCAGGAGAUGCUGGGGAGGGAGAGAACUGUGUCUGCCAUGCCUCACAAUCUGUUCAGUGUCACCCUGUACCAUCCACGUAAAUCCCUUUGUGUGAUUAAAAAAAAAAAAGAAUUGUACAUUGUCUUGCGAUUUUUCACAGCCUCAGCCUAGCAAGAAUGGUUCGUGGGAUAAACAGCUGGCACUUGUAUCUAAAACCUAGAUUGGUUGCAUAAACACCAUGGCAUUCUGAAGUUUUGGUUUUGAUUGACAUUGGCAAGAUUACUGUGUGUUUAAUUUUCUUAAAGCUGAGCACUGUGGUGAUGGGUUUUGUAAUUCAGCAUAAUUCUUACUGAUAAGAAAAAUAGACCUGAAUGUUAUGUAACUCUUUGGAAAGUUUAAUCCAAUAUUAAAAUAGUCACUGAAAUACAAUUUCAUUGUAAAGUUGUACAGAAAGUUACAGAGGUUAUGUCGUGAUGCUGGGAUGUGGAGUGAGACACCAUCAUUUGGCAUUCAAGUUUAAUGGUAAUUCACAGUGAUGCUGCCUGUUCAGAGCUUAUAGACACUGGACCUGUUUGGGCUAUUGCCACUCAAAAGUUCAUGACCACAAAUGUCCACAGCGUCUUCCUCUGAGGAAAUGCAAAUCCUGAAGCUGAAAUUCCUUGUGACAGAUAACUGGCUGUGACACCUUGAAAAGUUCUGGUGCUCAUAUGACACACCUGACUAAACCCCCCUUCCUACAGCAAUAGGAAUAUGUUACUGAUUUGAAACUUGUGCCUCAAUAAUGGAAUAGUUUUUCAUUGUUAACACUGAGCUAGUGCUGUAAAUGCUGUCUGUUUUAUGAAUGCUCUUUUCUGUUUCCUGGCUAAUAUCUCCUUCUUUUUUUUUUUUUUGGUGUGAGGAAUUUAAUAAGAUAAUGCAUACAAAGUGCUCAGAACCCCAGCAGAUACACGGCAUUCACUGAGUGUUAGCCAGUCUCAUUAUAGCACAGAUGUCCCUUCCCCCACAUGCCUUUGCCCCACAUUCCUGGAUAAUACCUUUAAGAAUAAUGUUCUGAGUCAGGCAUGGUGGUGUGUGCCUGUGGUUCCAAAUACUUGGGAGGCUGAGGCAGGAGGAUCACCUGAGCCCGGGAGUUUAAGGCCAUAGUGUCCUGUGGCUGCCCCUGUGAAUAGCCACUGCACUCCCACAUGGGCAACAUAGCAAGACCUUGACUCCAACAAAACAGAAGAAUGUUCUGUAGAGAUUGCCUUUCACUUCAGGAGUGCUCAGUUUUCAUGUUCUUCCUAGAUUGGGGCUUUUAUUUAUUAUUAUAUUAUGUUUUAUUUUAUUUACUUAUUCAUUAAUUAAUUAGUUAAUUUUGAGACAGGGUCUCCCUCUGCGGCCCAGGCUGGAGUGCGGUGGCACAAUCUUGGCUCACUGCAACCUCUGCCUCCUGGGUUCAAGCAAUUCUCCCGCCUCAACCUCCUGAGUAGCUGGAAUUACAGGCACGUGACACCAAAGGCCACCUAAUUUUUGUAUUUUUAGUAGAGAUGGGGAUUUAUCUUUUUUUUUUUUUUUUUUUGAGA
rnacentral:lncRNA from 1 species